AUUCUGCUUAAGGUCUUCAAGUUCUUCACCUAAGAGAUCAUCAUUCUCCAAGUUCUCUCCUGCGUCUAGAAGGGAAUUUUCGAUUUCACGAUAAUCUCUUCAUCUUCUAUCGCUCAGUCAAGAUCAAGAUGAUCCUCCUCAGGAUUAUUCUCCUCCCAAUCCAUGUCGCCAUCAUCCGUCACUCCUUGCUAUGUGUCGUUGACAUCUUCCUGCAUAAACUCCUCUUCCUCCUCCCAGGUUUCUUCACUCUUAAUCUCCAUUUCUGAUGCGUUAAUUUCUGUAUUUUCAGGAUUAGCACUCGGUAAUUCUCCAAUAUGAAUUGCAUUGGAGAAUCUUGCUUCUAAAGGAGCUUCUUGAGCAUGAUUUUCCUCUUCUUCCACAGUUUGAUCAUACCAACUCUUCUCCUUGUCCAGCUGCUUCGAUAUAACCAAGAGGUCAGAUUUAUUACGAGGACCAAACGCUUCAUCAUCUUGUGUCAUAGUAUCAAAGUUUAGGCUUUUCUUUGCAGAGCUUCCCCAAUAGUAAGUUUCUCAGAGGCGAUCACGUGCUUCAAUUGAAUGUAGUCGCCUCUCUUUUUCAGAUUCAAGCGAAAAGGUCUUUCUCUGUUAAGAGCUUGAGAAGAAACUCCUUGUUUUACUCGUAGUGAAGAGAUCAAAGGAUCAGAGACCGUCAAUUGCGAGUCCGAGACAUGGGAUAAACCAGCAGAUUUUGAUGCUGCAGCUGGAGAUUUGUUCUGGUUCAUCCUGCGGGUCACAGCUCUUUCUUUUGAUGAGGAUGGCUUGUGAUUAUGGUUCUCCAGAGUGUCAUCAUAACGUCUUUUGCGACCUGAAUCCUUAAAGGGAGGGAUCUCGCGGACUGAAGAAGGGUUCUUAAUCUCUGAAGGUCUCAUAAGUUUCUCCCGUGUUCGGGGAAUUGAAGCUGUGCUCCAUUCAAUUCGUCGAUCAUAGCCCUGAGAGUCAUCCCUAGUCGUAUGAUGAUUUGAGUAGCGAGCAUUUGCAGGUGGGUUCCAGUUCUGAGAUCGAGAAUUGUCAAUACGACGCCAAGCAUGUUUAGAAUUAGCAUUUACAACUUGUUUGCCUUCUGUUUUUCUCCUGCGGUAGUCAGAGGUUGUUGGGUCUUCUUUAGCUUGUGUUGGCUUGACCAAGUCAGGUCUCCACCACGAAGGGUGAAUCCUUCCAUUUGUGCUGAGCUGGAGAGUUGCAGUAGGAGUAGAAAGAGUUAACUUCUUCCCUGAAGUCAGCUUUCCCAAGCUUUUGUCAUUAUCUUUUUCAAACGGUAACGUCUCCUUCUGAGCCACAAGGUUUAAAGGACAAGAUUCUUGUUCGUUGUAGAUCCUAUGACAAAGCUUACACCACCUAAAGAGUCUCUUGGAGCCGAGAGAUACCCAAACAAGCUCACCCGAAGGGAUUUAAGUCUUUUUGCGGAAUCUCAAGGGUUCAUCUGCCUUACUAGUGACUGUGUUAUUUUAAAGAUUGGAGAUGUACAACUUUUGUAAACUGUUGUCGUACUAAAUCGAACAAGACAAAGUUGAAAGACUUGUAGGUAACUGAAAACAACGGAAACAUGAGGAAUCUGCUUAUUAAGCCCAGUUGCGAUUCUCUCUUUAUUUGUUUCUUCUCUUCUCUUGUAAACAAGUGUAUCUUUUUGGUUCAUUUGUCUCUAACCUUUUUUGUAAUACAUUCUUCUUUUACUUAGAAAGUUCAUGUGCUUAA
rnacentral:lncRNA from 1 species